rnacentral:lncRNA from 1 species
AGAGUUGAGAAGAAAAGUUGUCUCCCUUUCUUGCUUUCUUCCUAAAGCAGACUCGAGUGAGUGAGACAGAGUGUGAGGGAAAAGAAAGUGUAAGCUUCACCAUCAGCUAACUAUACGAACGAAAACAGAAGGGAGGUCGAGUGAGGAGUUGUGAUAGCAAACUUGAGCAGUCUGCAUUAUCGAUUUGUAAGGGAAAAGAGGUAAGAAUCUACCAUAACCUUCUGCUUAUUUGGCACAAAUAAGUAUAUAUACAAGCUGCAUGUUAGUUUUAGCAAGGCAUAAUGAGUUUUAACCGAGGAGAAAUCUGAUAAAGGAGAAAAAGAUGAGAACUGGACAGAAAUGGAGGGAACCGAGAGUUGUUGUUGAGUUGCAGCCCAUAAAUAAAGAAAAUUUUCCGUAAUAACCUCUUAGUUAUUCAGUACACUUGAAUAUUAAGGUUGCAUGUUGGAUUGUAGCUAAGAAAAACUAAGCUUGGUUGAAGGAAAUAGUUGGAAGUUUCUGCUAUGCUGGCCGAAGGAGGAAAGACAGAAAUGUCCAAGUUUCUUUAUAUAUUUUGGUUCUAAACUCCUACGUUGAGGCUUAGUUCAUUGCAUAAUAUUUUAGUUUUGGCAUGCAUGUUAGAUUUGGGUAUGAAAUGAAGUAGUUAAUGGAGGAAUUUCUUGCUAAAAGAUUGAUUGCUGUCCGAAGCUUUCUAUCAAGGCCGAGAGAGAGAGAGAGAGUUAAACCUCUGAUCAGUUUUUCCUUCAAACUCCACUCUGUAAACUUUCACAUCUGAUAUCUAAAGUUACUGGGUAGUUUAAUACUUGUAUUUGGCAUGAUGAGCUGGAGUUAAAAUUGAAGGAGUUAUGGUAAAAAUGUUGCAUAUUAAACUGCGGCACUGCUAGAAGCUUUAGUUGUCCAAUGUCUUAGCUGAUGUCAGAUUGUUGUGCGUGGCUGUUGGGUUGAAUAAUCUGUUGAAACUAGAUGCUCUUUGUCUUGGUUUAUGCUGGACUGAAUGUACUUUAAAUAUUUAGAGCUUUAAGCAAGUGAAAGAAUAGCGUUUUCGCUGAAGGUUGAAGUAACGUUACUAGUUUUGGUUGCUGUCCCAGAAAUGAAACAGAUUAUGCUUCUGACCGUCCCAUUUUGGCCUUGAAAACGCGAUAACUGGAUGUCGAUGUCUUCAUAGGAAAUGUAGGUCUAGGUUUUAGCUUCGAAACGCUAUAAAAUUCGCCUCAAUCCGAUAAGCGUAACUCCAAUUAUGAUCAAAACACCCGAGGAUGGCAAAGCUGCCUUUCUUUUUGUUCCCGAAUGCACUUUGCUAAGAUGCUAACUGUGAGGAACCAACUUUUAACCAGCAUUUCCUCUAAUUUUCAACUUUGUAAGCUUUCAUAAAUGAUAGUUACGGUUAGUCUGAGAUUUAAUGGCUAUAUAUAGCUCCACAAGUAGAGUUAAACUAAAGUAAAUGAGAGGAAAACUCAUGAUAAUUAAAUUGGCUUCUAAUUACUUAAUACUGCCUUUACAAAUAAUUUAAAGACUAUAAAAUUUGAGGGACUGGUGUACUGGAAUAAAAUUUAAUUUACAAACAAUCUAGAGUUUAAUUAAUUAAAAAGGCGACCAAUAGAGUGCUCCUAAGCCAUAAUCUUAGAAUCUUGAGUGGAAAAUGAUUUAAUUCUAGAAUAAAUAUCUUAUAAAUUAUUAACUUGGGAAAACAGGUAUAAUUCUUGAUUAAAACAAUAAAGUCAAUAAGUUUCAAAAUAAAAUGAAAAAUGAAUAUUGAAUAUAUUAUAUUUGUACUUUAAAGUCAAACUUGAUUUUAAUAGUUCAAGUGAUAAAGUAAGAACAAUAAGUGAACAUCUACAAACUAUGUAUUUGAUUUGGAAUUAUUAACUUGUCCAGGAAGUAGCUGUGAACCAGAAAAUCGACUCGAGACUCGAGAGUAAUUUAUUUGGAUAUUUGGUGAGUGUUUUCUGAAUUUAUGUGUUAAACUGCUUAUGUGUACCUAAGUGCAAUUAUAUGGCAAAUGUGCUUAUUAUGAAAUAUUGCUAAGUGAUUCAUUGGAAGCGUAUCUCAAUUGUCCCUCGUCUUCUAAGUCGAGGGUGUACUUUAUCGCACUUGACUUAGUUGAACUUGAAGAUUGAUAAUUGAUCAAGUGAUAUUGUAAGUGUGCAUGACUGUAAGCCGUGUGUGUACUUUAUCACGCCGGCUGAACUGGGCCCCAAAACCCUCUGUUCAACGGACUAUUCGAGCCAGCAAAGGGCUUGGUCGGGUAGGACGGUAGGUUUGGGUAAGUGUUUUGGUAUGCUUGAGUAUUACCACGGUGUACUAGAUUACUGAUAUUGAUAUGGCCAUCCAAGUGAGGGAAGUGUUUAUUGUUUUGGAGGUUAUAAGGAGGAGUUCGGCGGAGUGUGUAGUGCAUUGAAGUGGCUCUAAUGCGAGCACCGUAUCCUUUUAAAAGUGAUUGUUCAGUGAAGUGUUUCCUCAAUUGCUAAUGAAAGUGAUUGUACAGUGAAAUGUGCACUAUUUAUUUAAUUGUAUUGAUUCAUGUGAUUAUUAAAUGUUACUUGCAUGGAAACCUCACGGGCGUAAGCUCACCCUUUUAGUUUUGUUUUCCUUACAGGAGUCAAAGAUUGAAGAGUGAUUGGAUUGAACUAGAAAGUUAUUUUGGGAAGAUCCAUUAUUCUGUGUAUAUAGUGUAGGCAUGGUCUCUGUUGAAUUUUGAAACGGUUGAAUUUUUGUUUGAGUUGGUGUGAUAUUAAGAAUGGAUAUUUAGAACAGGUAUUUUGUUUCUUUUAUUGGACAAAUUUAUGUUUCAAACUGAUUGGAGAUGUACUUAAGAGUGAAUGUUCAGUUGUUCAAUAGUAAUGUUAUCUUUGAAGUUAAUGUAAGUGAGUGAGUUCUGGCGAGAGUCAGGCAGACGAUUCGCUAACUUCUAGAGUAGACCCUAGGAGAAGGUGGGGCCGUCACACUUUAGAAUUGUCAAUUUCUGACAAAUUCAAAGCAAAAUUUUUGCCUCUUAUUUUUACUGAGAAAAGUUCAUUCCCAGCUGGAUCAUGUAUAAUACAAGUCCUAUUUUUGAAGAUGAUAGAAUAAUUCUUUUCCAAUAACUGU